UACAGAGGUCCCGAGCGUUGUUCGGAUUCACUGGGCGUAAAGGGUGCGUAGGUGGCAAUGUAAGUUUGAUGUGAAAGCUCAGGGCUUAACCCUGAAAUGGCAUUGAAUACUACAUGGCUGGAGGUUUGGAGGGGGGACUGGAAUUCUUGGUGUAGCAGUGAAAUGCGUAGAUAUCAAGAGGAACACCAGUGGCGAAGGCGAGUCCCUGGACAACACCUGACACUGAGGCACGAAGGCCAGGGGAGCAAACGGG
rnacentral:rRNA from 1 species